rnacentral:rRNA from 1 species
AUUGAACGCUGGCGGCAGGCCUAACACAUGCCAGUCGAGCGGAUGAAGGGAGCUUGCUCCUGGAUUCAGCGGCGGACGGGUGAGUAAUGCCUAGGAAUCUGCCUGGUAGUGGGGGAUAACGUCCGGAAACGGGCGCUGAUACCGCAUACGUCCUGAGGGAGAAAGUGGGGGAUCUUCGGACCUCACGCUAUCAGAUGAGCCUAGGUCGGAUUAGCUAGUUGGUGGGGUAAAGGCCUACCAAGGCGACGAUCCGUAACUGGUCUGAGAGGAUGAUCAGUCACACUGGAGCUGAGACACGGUCCAGACUCCUACGAGAGGCAGCAGUGGGGAAUAUUGGACAAUGGGCGAAAGCCUGAUCCAGCCAUGCCGCGUGUGUGAAGAAGGUCUUCGGAUUGUAAAGCACGUUAAGUUGGGAGGAAGGGCAGUAAGUUAAUACCUUGCUGUUUUGACGUUACCAACAGAAUAAGCACCGGCUAACUUCGUG